UACGGGGGGAGCAAGCGUUGUUCGGAUUUACUGGGCGUAAAGGGCGCGUAGGCGGCCACCGCAAGUCGACUGUGAAAUCUCCGGGCUUAACCCGGAAAGGUCAGCCGAUACUGCGGGGCUAGAGUGCAGAAGGGGCAACUGGAAUUCUCGGUGUAGCGGUGAAAUGCGUAGAGAUGUGGAGGAACACCAGUGGCGAAGGCGGCUUUCUGGUCUGUAACUGACGCUGAGGCGCGAAAGCGUGGGGAGCAAACAGG
rnacentral:rRNA from 1 species